rnacentral:rRNA from 1 species
GACGAACGCUGGCGGCGUGCCUAAUACAUGCCAGUUGAGCGCUGAAGGUUGGUACUUGUACCAACUGGAUGAGCAGCGAACGGGUGAGUAACGCGUGGGGAAUCUGCCUUUGAGCGGGGGACAACAUUUGGAAACGAAUGCUAAUACCGCAUAAAAACUUUAAACACAAGUUUUAAGUUUGAAAGAUGCAAUUGCAUCACUCAAAGAUGAUCCCGCGUUGUAUUAGCUAGUUGGUGAGGUAAAGGCUCACCAAGGCGAUGAUACAUAGCCGACCCGAGAGGGUGAUCGGCCACAUUGAGACUGAGACACGGGCCAAACUGCUACGGGAGGCAGCAGUAGGGAAUCUUCGGAAAUGGACGAAAGUCUGACCGAGCAACGCCGGGUGAGUGAAGAAGGUUUUCGGAUCGUAAAACACUGUUGGUAGAGAAGAACGUUGGAGAGAGUGGAAAGCUCAUCAAGUGACGGUAACUACCCAGAAAAGGACGGCUAACUACGUG